rnacentral:rRNA from 1 species
GAGUUUGAUCAUGGCUCAGGACGAACGCUGGCGGUGCGCCUUAUGCAUGCAAGUUGAGCGAAGCUUUUUGGUAGUUUACUACUAGAAAUGACUGAGCGGCGAACGGGUGAGUAACGCGUGAGCAAUCUACCUUAGUUACUGGGAUAGCCCGAGGAAACUCGGAUUAAUACCGGAUAUUCUUAUUUUUUCACAUGAAGUUUUAAGGAAAGGUCAGCCGAACUAAGAUGAGCUCGCGUUCUAUCAGCUAGUUGGUGGGGUAAAAGCCUACCAAGGCUACGACGGAUAGCUGGUCUGAGAGGACGAUCAGCCACACUGGGACUGAGACACGGCCCAGACUCCUACGGGAGGCUGCAGCAGGGAAUAUUGUGCAAUGAGCGAAAGCUUGACACAGCGACACCGCGUGUGGGAUGACGGUUCUAGGAUUGUAAACCACUUUCAGGAGGGAAGAAAAUGACGGUACCUCCACAAGAAGACCCGGCCAACUAUGUGCCAGCAGCCGCGGUAAUACAUAGGGGUCAAGCGUUGUCCGGAUUUAUUGGGCGUAAAGAGCUCGUAGGCGGUUCAACAAGUCGGUCGUAAAAGUUUAGGGCUCAACCCUAAAAUGUCGAUCGAUACUGUUGUGACUAGGAUACGGUAGAGGUGAAUGGAAUUCCGAGUGUAGCGGUGAAAUGCGUAGAUAUUCGGAGGAACACCAAUUGCGAAGGCAGUUCACUGGACCGUGAUCGACGCUGAGGAGCGAAAGCUAGGGGAGCAAACAGGAUUAGAUACCCUGGUAGUCCUAGCUGUAAACGAUGGAUACUAGAUGUAGGAACUGGAUUGACGGUUUCUGUAUCGUAGCUAACGCGUUAAGUAUCCCGCCUGGGGAGUACGUCGCAAGACUAAAACUCAAGGAAUUGACGGACCCGCACAAGCGGCGGAGCAUGCGCUUAAUUCGAUGAUACCCGUAGAACCUUACCUGGACUUGACAUAAUAGGGAAAAACUG